CAGAGCCACGGUAAUACGAAGGGGGCUAGCGUUGUUCGGAAUUACUGGGCGUAAAGCGCACGUAGGCGGACAUUUAAGUCAGGGGUGAAAUCCCGGGGCUCAACCCCGGAACUGCCUUUGAUACUGGGUGUCUAGAGUAUGGAAGAGGUGAGUGGAAUUCCGAGUGUAGAGGUGAAAUUCGUAGAUAUUCGGAGGAACACCAGUGGCGAAGGCGGCUCACUGGUCCAUUACUGACGCUGAGGUGCGAAAGCGUGGGGAGCAAACAGGAUUAGAUACCCCCGUAGUCCCUGUCUCUUAUACC
rnacentral:rRNA from 1 species